UACGUAGGGACCAAGCGUUGUUCGGAUUUACUGGGCGUAAAGGGCGCGUAGGCGGCGUGGUAAGUCACUUGUGAAAUCUCUGAGCUUAACUCAGAACGGUCAAGUGAUACUGCUGUGCUAGAGUGCGGAAGGGACAAUCGGAAUUCUUGGUGUAGCGGUGAAAUGCGUAGAUAUCAAGAGGAACACCUGAGGUGAAGACGGGUUGCUGGGCCGACACUGACGCUGAUGCGCGAAAGCCAGGGGAGCAAACGGG
rnacentral:rRNA from 1 species